UGCAGGGUAGCUCAGUUGGUAGAGCAUGAGACUCUCAGGGUUGUGGGUUUGAGCCCUGCACUGGGCAA